CGCCCACUCCCAGCAGCCUACCCAAACCCGUGCCAGAGCAGGUGCCCUGCUGGGGCCGUCCCUUCCCACCAUCUCUCUAGGUCCUAUUCUCCUCUCAGCAGAUGAGCCGACCUCCCCAAAGAAGCCGAAGAGUGUCCUGAGCCGGAGUCCAGUGGUGUGGAAUGUGACGCCACCUCUCCCCUGCCCUCCGAGUGGACCUCGGUGAGGAUCAGCCCUGGGGAGGACGCGCUCGGGCAGGACGUGCUCGCCGUGCGUGUCCUGGUCACCAGCGAUGACAGCAGCUCCGAAACAGAGUCUGACUGUGGCGGUGAGACCCCCAGUGCGGAGCCCUGUGAGGCGAGACCCCGGCGGCCAGAACCCCCCACCCUGCCGCAGUCCCCCACCCGGGACUCCUCGAGGGAGGCGGUCUCUCCACAGGGCCCGGAGCAGUCCAGCGAGCAAGGUGAGCGGAGAGCCUGCCUGGGUGGGACGCAGGCUUCCCUGAUCCGGGCGCAGUGGGGGGGGGGGAGCAGAGACCCCCCACCUGAAGGCCCAGCCCUGUGGGCAGCUUUCCCUCAUGGAGGCCCGU
rnacentral:lncRNA from 1 species